rnacentral:rRNA from 1 species
UAGGGAAUCUUCCGCAAUGGGCGAAAGCCUGACGGAGCAACGCCGCGUGAGUGAUGAAGGUCUUCGGAUCGUAAAACUCUGUUAUUAGGGAAGAACAAAUGUGUAAGUAACUAUGCACGUCUUGACGGUACCUAAUCAGAAAGCCACGGCUAACUACGUGCCAGCAGCCGCGGUAAUACGUAGGUGGCAAGCGUUAUCCGGAAUUAUUGGGCGUAAAGCGCGCGUAGGCGGUUUUUUAAGUCUGAUGUGAAAGCCCACGGCUCAACCGUGGAGGGUGAUUAGAAACUGGAAAACUUGAGUGCAGAAGAGGAAAGUGGAAUUCCAUGGGUAGCGGUGAAAUGCGCAGAGAUAUGGAGGAACACCAGUGGCGAAGGCGACUUUCUGGUCUGUAACUGACGCUGAUGUGCGAAAGCGUGGGGAUCAAACAGG